rnacentral:misc_RNA from 1 species
GAUGAAGAACGUAGCGAAAUGCGAUAAGUAAUGUGAAUUGCAGAAUUCAGUGAAUCAUCGAAUCUUUGAACGCACAUUGCGCCCCUUGGUAUUCCGAGGGGCAUGCCUGUUCGAGCGUCAUUAUAACCCCUCAAGCUCAGCUUGGUGUUGGGGCCUGCCGCACGGGCAGCCCUUAAAAUCAGUGGCGGUGCCAUCUGGCUCUAAGCGUAGUAAUUCUUCUCGCUAUACAGUCCCGGUGGAUGCUUGCCAUUAACCCCCAAUUUUCUAUGGUUGACCUCGGAUCAGGUAGGGAUACCCGCUGAACUUAAGCAUAUCAAUAAGCGGAGGA